AGCGGGAGGGAGGCAGAAACCUGGAGGCAGAAAGUGGAGACGGACCUGAGCCCGAGGAAGAGGCAGGCAGAGGCUGAGGCAGAUUCCACCCCAGCCUGCCCGGACAACCCUCCUUAGCCGCAACCCCUUCCAGUUCCCUAGGGGUUCUGCCCCUCCCCCUCUCUGGGGCACCAGGCCCCCAGGGCCCUGCAUCCCACCAUGUCGAUGGCUGUGGAAACCUUUGGCUUCUUCAUGGCAGCCGUGGGGCUGCUGAUGCUGGGGGUGACUCUGCCAAACAGCUACUGGCGAGUGUCCACCGUGCACGGGAACGUCAUCACCACCAACACCAUCUUCGAGAACCUCUGGUUUAGCUGUGCCACCGACUCCCUGGGCGUCUACAACUGCUGGGAGUUCCCGUCCAUGCUGGCCCUCUCUGGCUCCACAGACUCCCCAGCCUCACUGUCGGGGGGACACUGGUCUCCUUGUCCGGCUGAUGUCUAAAGGGCCCCCGUGAAGGGAGGCGUCUUGCAAGUUGCAGGUUGAACGUCUGCUGUAAGGAGGCGGUGUGUGUGCAGGGUAUAUUCAGGCCUGCCGGGCACUCAUGAUCACCGCCAUCCUCCUGGGCUUCCUCGGCCUCUUGCUAGGCAUAGCGGGCCUGCGCUGCACCAACAUUGGGGGCC
rnacentral:sRNA from 1 species